AGCGGCGGACGGGUGAGUAACACGUGGGUAACCUGCCUGUAAGACUGGGAUAACUCCGGGAAACCGGGGCUAAUACCGGAUGGUUGUUUGAACCGCAUGGUUCAAACAUAAAAGGUGGCUUCGGCUACCACUUACAGAUGGACCCGCGGCGCAUUAGCUAGUUGGUGAGGUAACGGCUCACCAAGGCAACGAUGCGUAGCCGACCUGAGAGGGUGAUCGGCCACACUGGGACUGAGACACGGCCCAGACUCCUACGGGAGGCAGCAGUAGGGAAUCUUCCGCAAUGGACGAAAGUCUGACGGAGCAACGCCGCGUGAGUGAUGAAGGUUUUCGGAUCGUAAAGCUCUGUUGUUAGGGAAGAACAAGUACCGUUCGAAUAGGGCGGUACCUUGACGGUACCUAACCAGAAAGCCACGGCUAACUACGUGCCAGCAGCCGCGGUAAUACGUAGGUGGCAAGCGUUGUCCGGAAUUAUUGGGCGUAAAGGGCUCGCAGGCGGUUUCUUAAGUCUGAUGUGAAAGCCCCCGGCUCAACCGGGGAGGGUCAUUGGAAACUGGGGAACUUGAGUGCAGAAGAGGAGAGUGGAAUUCCACGUGUAGCGGUGAAAUGCGUAGAGAUGUGGAGGAACACCAGUGGCGAAGGCGACUCUCUGGUCUGUAACUGACGCUGAGGAGCGAAAGCGUGGGGAGCGAACAGGAUUAGAAUCCCUGGUAGUCCACGCCGUAAACGAUGAGUGCUAAGUGUUAGGGGGUUUCCGCCCCUUAGUGCUGCAGCUAACGCAUUAAGCACUCCGCCUGGGGAGUACGGUCGCAAGACUGAAACUCAAAGGAAUUGACGGGGGCCCGCACAAGCGGGGAACAUGUGGAGCAUGUGGUUUAAUUCGAAGCAACGCGAAGAACCUUACCAGGUCUUGACAUCCUCUGACAAUCCUAGAGAUAGGACGUCCCCUUCGGGGGCAGAGUGACAGGUGGUGCAUGGUUGUCGUCAGCUCGUGUCGUGAGAUGUUGGGUUAAGUCCCGCAACGAGCGCAACCCUUGAUCUUAGUUGCCAGCAUUCAGUUGGGCACUCUAAGGUGACUGCCGGUGACAAACCGGAGGAAGGUGGGGAUGACGUCAAAUCAUCAUGCCCCUUAUGACCUGGGCUACACACGUGCUACAAUGGACAGAACAAAGGGCAGCGAAACCGCGAGGUUAAGCCAAUCCCACAAAUCUGUUCUCAGUUCGGAUCGCAGUCUGCAACUCGACUGCGUGAAGCUGGAAUCGCUAGUAAUCGCGGAUCAGCAUGCCGCGGUGAAUACGUUCCCGGGCCUUGUACACACCGCCCGUCACACCACGAGAGUUUGUAACACCCGAAGUCGGUGAGGUAACCUUUUAGGAG
rnacentral:rRNA from 1 species